UGUUCUCAGCACACACGGGGCUGCAGGGCUGCUCUCCUUCCAAGCUCCUCCCAGAAACAGACAGGUGGGACAGAAGAAAUCCUCAGUUGUUGGAAGCUGACUGCUAAAAGCUGGCUAGAGAGAGCCAGAGCACUCAGAACUUGGGGGAGAGUUUAAACAUUAUGCUGGAGAAAGACUGUGGGUAUCCUCACUUGACUAGAAGAAGGAUCACUUUUUUCUUGGACCCAGGAGUCUGCUGAGGUGUUCAUAGCUUCCUACCCUGUCAGAUAGUAAAAGUGGUGUGAUGAUGACCAAGUUGGAUGGUUAACGGAAGAUCCUCAACACCAGAAUGACCUUCUGCCUGAAAAGUUCAUCCGCAGAGUCAAUACCAUUUCCUGUCAUCACUUUGCAUCCCUGAUCAGCAUGCUAAGCAAAGAGCAGCUGUGACUCAGCCUGGUGCGCUGAAGAGAUAGUUCCUGGUUCUUUUAAAGGGCACCUGUGUCCAUUUUUCUGCUGUGGAUAUCCAUCUUCCUUUAACAUUCCUAAAUUAAAAUUGAAGGCUUUAGGAAGAGUUAUUACUGUUAUUACUAUAAAGUGACAUUAAGAAAUAAUAGCCUUUAAAAUAUAUGAACACAUUCUUGACAAGUGUUACUGGGAUGGGAAAACAAAGCAAACAAAAAGAUGUGAACAGAAGGGAUUCUGUAGGAUUUGUAGUUGAUCAUUCAUUCUCUUUCUCUUUUAGACCCUUUCUUUCUCCUCUUUCUUUUUUUUCACUUCUUUCCCUACUCUUCCCUUCCCUCCCCUCUGCUCCCAUCUCCUUUACUCUCCUCUCCAUACUUGUUACUGAAAAUGUGUUACUUAAUGAUUUUGCAAUGUCAGCAUAUGCUCUGGCAACCGCUCAAAUACUUGAAAGGAUUAAUAUGAAGGAACAGGCUGGCAAUUUGCUGAAUUCAUUUAAAAGGUAAAAAAUGCUAUGGAAUAAACAGUUUUAAAAA